UGAUAGUACUGUAAACUGCAAUGUAAUGCAUUAUAUGACGUGAUAUGAUAAUAUAGCACGCUGAGUGAUUAAUUGAAACAUGUUAUGCUAUUGUGACAUAUUAUUACGUCAUAUUGUAUAUCAACAAUAAUAAUUCUAGGGAACUAAGAGGGACCAGCCAAAAACCUGCCAACUCCUCUUGGGCUGGACCCCGAAGCCCACCCUCACUACAGCAACAUCCAAAAAUUCACCCAGGUAAACACAGUUCACCCUAACUAAACCCUAUACUCUCCUUUCACCGUUUCACCGCAGUAGAAGCCCAAAACCAUCCACGGCCGCGCCAGUUCAUCGUGCAAUCUUCUCCUCCGCCUUCAUCGGACGCUGCGCCCCCGUCCACCACGUGCGGGCAACAGCCGGCCUCCGUAGACUGCUUCAGAACGCCACAACGCUCCCAUCUCCUUGACGUGCUUCUUAACGCGUUAAUCAGAGCUUCCCCAAUUUCGGCCGCGGCAACAUCGUUCCACCCAGGUGCGAGGAACAAGAUGGUUCUCCUUCUCACCAAGGGUGCGCCGCUGCUGCUGCAUGUCGGUGUUGGCAGCGCCAUUGAAGCUUCCCUGUUCUGCUCCGCCAAAUGCAAUAGGACGUCCACUGCUCCAAUCUCGAAACCUCCCUUCACAUAACUAAUUGGAUUUGGGGUUGUUUCUUGUCAACAAGCACCAGGAUUGUGUUGCCGAAAAGUCAAUUAAGAUGGAAAAAAAGGUAUAUGAACUGCUAUUGCUGAAAUUGUGAAGUUGUUGGUGACUUUAUCCAAACUUUUAGGUGGAUGAUGCUUCUGAUAGGCAUUAUGAUGUUUCUUUGCACUGGGAAUUGGAUGGUUCUGGAUAUGUGUUCCGAGUUAUCACGUGUUAAUAUAUAAUAGACAUAGAUGGCUAUUAAUCUAUUGCAUAAACGUUGACCAUAAAUGCUUUGUUUUGCUUUCACUUUGUAGGGGCAUCCUGAAGAGCCGAGCACAAUAUACAAAAAUCUACAUCAGAUGUUUCUCUUGUUAAACAAAUGGAUGUUUCUUUUUAUACUAAAUGGAUUAUUCUUUGAAAUGAAUCAUCAUUUUAGGUGAAAAUUAACUUUGAA